UAUUAACCCAGUCUGUCUGAUUGUUGGACCCUUAUUUCAAUUUCAGGUUAAAAUCAGUAAGAGGACAGUACCUGUGUACAGCAAGAGUGUUGGACCUUGAACAGAAAUUAACUACCAGAACACUGAAAAACCCAAAAGUCUCCAUGGAAUUAGAAGACAGAAAAUACUUGAAAAUUAGCAAUAAUGAUCACAUUUUUCGUAGGCAAAGUUAGGUGUCAAAAGCCCUCUAGAGAAGAGGUGCAGGUGGAGAAGGAUCACUUUUGUCAAUGCCUGUCCAAAUAACAGCCUUACAACCUUCUCCCAGGAAAUGGAAGAAGGUGGUUCCUGGCUGUAUCUGCCAAACUUCAAUAUAUGUAGACAACAUGCAGCAUUACAUAAUUUGCAACAUUAAAGAAGAAAUAUAGAGGUGAAGAUAUUGUGCAAGAUGUCAGAAUGAAAAAGAAGUUUGAAGCUUUAUAUCCUUUCAAAGUGGGAAGACAAAAGAACAAGCAAUAAAACUGAGAGUUCAGAAAUUCCUGAAUUUGAC
rnacentral:lncRNA from 1 species